GACGAACGCUGGCGGCGUGCUUAACACAUGCAAGUCGAACGGAAAGGCCCUGCUUUUGUUGGGUGCUCGAGUGGCGAACGGGUGAGUAACACGUGAGUAACCUGCCCUUGACUUUGGAAUAACUUCAGGAAACUGGGGCUAAUACCGGAUAGGAGCUCCUGCUGCCUGGUGGGGGUUGGAAAGUUUGGGCGGUUGGGGAUGGACUCGCGGCUUGUCAGCUUGUUGGUGGGGUAGUGGCUUACCAAGGCUUUGACGGGUAGCCGGCCUGAGAGGGUGACCGGCCACAUUGGGACUGAGAUACGACCCAGACUACUACGGGAGGCAGCGGUGGGGAAUAGUGCACAAUGGGCGGAAGCCUGAUGCAGCAACGCCGCGUGCGGGAUGACGGCCUUCGGGUUGUAAACCGCUUUCGCCUGUGACGAAGCGUGAGUGACGGUAAUGGGUAAAGAAGCACCGGCUAACUACGUG
rnacentral:rRNA from 1 species